rfam:Stegodyphus mimosarum contig17273, whole genome shotgun sequence.
AAAAAGGCCCUUUUCAGGGUCAAACAAAUUUAAUAAAAGAAAUAU